AAACAUCUAGGCAGCUACCCAAAUGGACACAUCCCCACAUACUCUCAAACUCAUACACACAGACACACAGGUAUGCUUGCACGCACAUGCUCAACUCCUCCAUCCCUCCCCCACACGGAGCUCAAACCACUCCAGCUGUUUUCUGGUUUUGGCAACAAAAGAACAGCAGAGCUUCCAAUGUCAGAUCUCUGAUCAGAACCAGCAUUAACAGCCCUGCUGCUGCCAAGCUAGAAUUUAAGUUGCCUGGACCAAGGAGAAGAUGGCUGGACAGUUAACGGUCGAGGUGAAGAGGCCGGUGUGAUGGUGUGAGGACUACUCUCCACAUAUGGAAAUAACGCAGCACCAAACAGAGCAGCUGCCUCAUCAUCAUCUCCAUCACUGGGAUUUCUUCAGUUGUAAUGCUAUUUGUGCUCUAUCUACACAUCUAUCAGCAUCUAAGUGAAAAACAGUAGGAGAGUGUUCGUCACUGGAAAAUUUCAAGGUCAGCCUGGAUGACUAUCAGAGCUGCAAGCAAAGAAUGGAAAUUUCCAAUUGCAGCAUCAAGGGCUGCUGUUCUGCUGACUGUCUUGCUCAGCCGGGGUCAUCUGCUUCUCUAAGACAUCAAGGAAUGCCAAGGUCAUGUUUCCAGGAAAAGAACAGUUAAGGAGGAUUUCUGACAUCACUGCUGCUAUUUAUACUUAACAUUAUUUAUUGAGGCGAGGCAAGCCUGCCGGAGGAUGAGAGACCAUGUGGAGUAGAGAUGAGCCAUCCUAGCUGAGGCCAUCCCAGACCAGCCAGCCCACAGCUAAUAUGCCAGCUGACCACAAAUGCACGAGCAAGCUCACCAGGAUCAACUGGAUCCCGCCUAGAUCAGCAGAACCACUCAGCCAACACCGUCUCAAGAGGAGUAGUAAAGGCAUUAAGUUUUAAGGUGGUUUGUUAUGAAGCAACAGGUCACUAAUACAGACAAUCGAUUCCCUUCUUUUCUUUUUUCUGACUGCCAGGAAGUUCAGCAUCAAACUUGAAGGCCAAUCACAGUAUCUAUGUUCAUUCAUUUAUUCACGUUUAUUGCACGCUUCAUGGUGAACAUAUUUGCAAUCUUCUCUCCUUGGUAGUGAACUCAAAAAACUUAAUAACCUAUUGUUUGCAUGUUGGUUCCAAACCAACUCAAUCCUCUGUUUUAAAUAUUUAGGUGGUUUUUACUUAUCAUCUGGUUGGAAGAGAUGACUCUAGAGCAGGAUUGGCAAACAUUUUCUGGAAAGAGCCAGCUUGUAAAUAUUUGAGGCUUUGCAGGCCAUACAGUCUCUGUCACAACUACUCAAGUCUGCGGCGGUAGUGUGAAAGGAGCCCUAGACUACAUGUAAACAAAUGAGCGUGGCUGUGUUCCAAGAAAACUUAAUUACAAAAACAGGCAGUGGGCAGGAUUCGGCCCUCAGGCCAUAGUUUGCUAACCCCUGAUCUAGACAAACCUACUUUACUGUGCAAAAACAUCUUCGUCUGUACUAUGAUCCCAUCGCCUUUAUUGUAAUUCAUCUCAAUUACCUUGAGAAAACGGGUAAAUCAGGUGAAUUUACUUCCUCUAUCCAAAGACCAAAAGGGGCUGAUUAUAGAGCAAUGCUGUAUAGAGACUAACAGCAUUUGUCCCAGGGCGAGUAAUUAAACUGAACGACUUAAGAUUCCCUAGCCACUUAGUCCAUGACUGGUUAUUUAGUUAAUGCUAAAGGCCAGGGCAACACAAGCGAUGUCUCAUUUGUUUUGUUUCAUUUCACAGCCUCUAAUCUCAAAUACUCAUUUAACAAAUGCACGCUGUAUGUCACAAUGAGGAUGGGGCUCUGGUCGUACUUGCCUACUCGGAGCUCCCUGAAUGUAUUGUGCUAUUUCACGCCUCUCUAGCUCUGCACACAAUGUUCCUUCUGCCUGGAACACACUUAGCCCUCUUCUCUUACUGGCUAACACCCACUCGCUGAUCAAAACUAAGCUCAGUGAUACUGUCUCUUGGAAGACUUCCCUGAGUGCACCUACCUCCUCACCCUCAACCUCCAGUCCACACACUCAGUCUCAGCAUUUAUUCUACUAAGUUAAUAAUUAAAAUAGCUAAUUGUGUUUAUAUGGUCCCAGGCUCUUACUAUAUGCCAGGCAUUGUUAACUAUAGUUGUUUAACUGAAAUUAUCAGUAUACUUGCCCAUUUCCCCAGUCCAAUCAUAUAUUCAAAAACAUUUAUUGAGUACCUCCCAACUGUUGUGCUAGAUAAAGACAAAGAAAACACAAGCCUAUAAUAGAGUGAAAACCCACUGAGGGCACCUACUGUGUCUUUUUGCUUUUACUUCUCGACACCUAGCUGUGUCCAGAGCAGAGAUUUUAGAUUAAUAUUAGAGGAAUGAAUGAAUGAAAAUAGCUAACACUUACACAGUACAUAAUAUGUGCCAGGCAAUGUUCUAAGCUCUUCACAUGUCUGAACUCAUUUACUCCUCGUAACAGCUUUAUGGGAUAGCUGGUAUAAUUAUCACCAUUUCAUAUAUGAGAAAUCAAAGUCAUGGAGAAUCUCUAAGUAACCGUCCCAAGGUCACCCAGAUAGUACGUGACAGAGCUGAUUCCAGAGUCCAUGUUCACAACCACUGGAUGAAAUAAAAGCUUGAGUGACUCAGCAUAAAUCCAUUGCCACUCUGGGAAAGGUAAUUGAAAGGAUGCAUCCUUGAAGACAUGGCUGAUCCAGUGGUAGUGGUUAUCUGCUUGGGUUUCGGAGUCAGAACUGUGAUCAUAUUUGCACUUGAGUGCUCAGUGUAAGUGAGCACUGUUGUUGGUGCUGUUGACAGUGCCUCCAAAGUGCACCCUCACAUUUACUCACAGACCAUCAUGGUUGCAUUCUGAACUCCCACCCGAUUUCUCCCACCGCCCUCUCCUCUUCUCAAGUAGGCAUGCACUGAUGCUCAAGGAGCGACUCCAGCAUGACUGCCAGCCUGUGACUGCUGUCUUGACUCUUCUCUGGUGGCAAGCAAGAUUAAACCAUAGAUUCACACAUGCUGGCCUAUUCCAAUGGGCACUUGAGCAAAUUAGCAUUUUGAAGAAGACUACACAGGAAUGUCCAUAAUUCUGGUGAACCUGGCCGGCCAUGUGCAUUUGUUUUAAGAGAUUGCUGCCAGUCACUCAUUGAUGGUUUUGGAAGUCCCCAUGGGGCCUCCCAGGCAAUAUGCCACUCAGCGGGGAAGACACAGAGAAGAAGAAAUAGUGACUGGUCUGCAGCUGUCUCUGAGGACAGGCUUGCUCUGAUGAAAAAGAAAGAACAGGUAUUUUAAACAGAAUUUUGCUUCUGAAACAAAUAUGGGUUUGGAAAGUUUUAGGUUUGAGCAUUAGGACAUCAGAGAAUAAAAGUGAUCACAGAGUCCCUGCAGACCCUUGAAGUCCACAGUCCCUCUGAGUGUAGAACAAAUGUGUCCAUUCUCCUGUCCUCAGGAAGUUUUCUUUAAAAAAUUGGACUCCUCCCCUUUUUUCCCUUUGCAAUUAGGUAAAUAGAAGGAGGCAAGAAGGUGAUUGGGUUGGUGGCCUCCGUCGAUGGCCUAGAGGACCUAACAAAGAUGUGCAGGGCCAGGACUAGCUCCCACAAGCUUCCACUUCUCAGUCUGAGGCACAGCAGAGAUCAAUAAGAAUUCAACAGUUCAAGAAUCGGCUCUUGCAAGCAACCAUGUGUCACUGCAGGGCUGUGCAAGAUUGUACCUGCGAGUAUAUGAUAAGGUAUAAGAUGAUGUUGUCUUUCCCUUUCUCCUUGACAAGCUUUCCUCCGUCAAUAAUUAAUCAUGGGACUUCUCCAGGAAAACAUUGCCUGGCCGAAAGACUUGAGAAAAAUAUUCAGUUGACCAAUAUUCUUGUGCACCUGCAAACAUUUUUCAGGGCUUGGGUAGAAUUUAUAGCACCUUAUUUUCCAAUUAAAAUAAUCCAGGUUUCAUUGUAUUUGUAGCCCCUUUCAUAUAGUUUACCACUGAAUAAUUCUCUGCUUGUUUCAUUACGUAAAACUUGCAUUUUCUCGUCUAGAUCACAGACUCACUGAGGGCAGAUGUCAUGUCCAUACUCCUUUUGAAUCCUCCCCAGCACUAACACAGAAAGGAGGAGCACAAUACUGAGUGGUCAGCAGGGAAUGGCCACAAGAUGGUGUCUGGAGACCUGGUAGUUUCUGUGCCCCCUGCCCCAUUCAGCUGGGGAUUAGACCUUUAGAAAGCACUUAAGUCUCUGAGAUGCAAUUUCCUCAUUUUAAGAUUGCCCCAUUGACCUCACUGGCUUGUUGGAAGGAUCAAAUAAGAUAAUGUAUGUGAAAGCACUUUGUAAACCAAGAUUUGCUAGCUACUGAAAUGUAAAAAAUCAGCAGAAGAGGCAUUUAGUAAAUAUCUAGGUGAUUUUGAAUGAUAAGGUAUUAUCUUCCCUUCUCCCCUAUAUUCAAUUCCUUUAGGAGUUUUAUUUCUCAGGAUUUAAUUUCAACUGAGUAGCAAACCACCCCACAACUUCCUGAUACUGUGUGAAAUGUCCCUUAGUGCCUUUUACCCCAUAGUUACCUUAAAAAU